AUUGAACGCUGGCGGCAUGCUUUACACAUGCAAGUCGAACGGUAACAGGGUGCUUGCACCGCUGACGAGUGGCGAACGGGUGAGUAAUGCGUCGGAACGUGCCGAGUAGUGGGGGAUAACGCAGCGAAAGUUGUGCUAAUACCGCAUACGUACUGAGGUAGAAAGUGGGGGACCUUCGGGCCUCACGCUAUUCGAGCGGCCGACGUCUGAUUAGCUAGUAGGUGAGGUAAAGGCUCACCUAGGCGACGAUCAGUAGCGGGUCUGAGAGGAUGAUCCGCCUCACUGGGACUGAGACACGGCCCAGACUCCUACGGGAGGCAGCAGUGGGGAAUUUUGGACAAUGGGCGAAAGCCUGAUCCAGCCAUGCCGCGUGUCUGAAGAAGGCCUUCGGGUUGUAAGGGACUUUUGUCAGGGAGGAAAUCCCUAGUGCUAAUAACACUGGGGGAUGGCAGUACCUGAAGAAUAAGCACCGGCUAACUACGUGCCAGCCGCCGCGGUAA
rnacentral:rRNA from 1 species